rnacentral:rRNA from 1 species
CUAAUACCGCAUAACGUCGCAAGACCAAANAGGGGGACCUUCGGGCCUCUUGCCAUCGGAUGUGCCCAGAUGGGAUUAGCUAGUAGGUGGGGUAACGGCUCACCUAGGCGACGAUCCCUAGCUGGUCUGAGAGGAUGACCAGCCACACUGGAACUGAGACACGGUCCAGACUCCUACGGGAGGCAGCAUG